rnacentral:tRNA from 1 species
UGGCUCAGUGAUAGAGCGCUUGCCUUGAAUGCAUGAGGCCCUGGGUUCGAUUCCUCAG